UACGUAGGGUGCAAGCGUUAAUCGGAAUUACUGGGCGUAAAGGGUGCGCAGGCGGUUUUGUAAGUCAGCGGUGAAAUCCCCGGGCUCAACCUGGGAAUGGCCGUUGAGACUGCAAGGCUGGAGUGUGUCAGAGGGGGGUAGAAUUCCACGUGUAGCAGUGAAAUGCGUAGAGAUGUGGAGGAAUACCGAUGGCGAAGGCAGCCCCCUGGGAUAACACUGACGCUCAGGCACGAAAGCGUGGGGAGCAAACAGG
rnacentral:rRNA from 1 species